CUGAAACCAGCAUGUUGCAGGCAAGGAAAGAGGCUGGCGGCUCAGAGGGUAAUCGUUCUUUAAACUCUGAUCCCAGAAAGGAAGCAACAUGUGCGUCAGUGGUGUGUGCGUGCGUGUGCGUGUGUGUGUGUUUAUGUGUGUGUUUGCUCUCUCUUUAGAAGCACACUCCUUGCCCAGGAGGGACCGUUCGUAUGCUGGAAUCAGAGACCUCACCCCCCAACCCCAUACACCCACCAGCCCUGGGCUUAGCAUCCCUGCCAAACAGGUCCUUCUCCACUCCCUUCAGCACUUCCUAAUCUGUCAUCUUUCUCAGUCAAAUAGCAAACCUGUUGGGUGAUUCUGGAAUGCAAACAUUACUUCCUAAGCAAUUCUCAAACCCCAACCCCCUAACUCUAAGAAGUCAAGUAAGAUCAGCCUUCCCCAGUCCAGCUCAAAUCCUGGCCCACAUUUAAACCUGAAACUUCAAAUCAGGAGUUCCUGAAUUACUCAGAUCAGACAGCUGUGACAUCAGGAAACUCUCCCAUGACGCUAAAUCCUAAUGAAAUCUUCGGGCCCAAGCAGAACCCAAGUUAAAGCUGGUUACAGAAGAAGAGACCCAAGGCUCUGUCUCCGGAGCAGAGAGUCCAGGAGGAAAAAGGCAAGGGAAGACUGCCCAGGCCAGAGAAAGGAAUGGAAAUGGGAAAGCAGAAGAGGAUGGCCCAAGUACUUGGGCACAUGCCAUGCACGUGGGAGACCCAGAUGAAGUUCCUGACGGCUGGCUUCAGCCAGCCCCGGCCAUUGCGGCCAUUUGGGGGAGUGAACCAGCAGAUGAAGAUCUUGCUCUGUAACUCUGCCUUUCAAAUAAUAAAUUUAACAACAACCCAAAGCCCCACAUCGCUACCCACUCCACGUGCUUCCCAUCUUUCCCAGCUACAAGACAGUCACCACUGUAGAAGGCAGAGCAACAAACCCAGAGGAGGACAGUCCUCCACUUCCGCUCUUCUGAAGACUUCUCUGUGGCAAAUGGAGGUACUUCAGACAUAGAAAACGCCCUGCUUGGACACAUCUAGUCCCCUGUGCAGAAGCCACCACUCACAAAGGAGGCAGGACAGGAAGGGUUCAAUGUUCAGUUUCCUUUAAUGACCCCCAUCUCCCUGAAGGGCAGGUGCAGGCAGCUAGGCGAUGGCAAGAGGCAUUCACUUGAAGACCUUGCCCUGAUUGAAGGCUUUGCCCACAUGCUGGAAGGCCCCCUCCCAGGCAAAGUACUCUCGAACCAGCGUCUGGGUUUCCUCGCUGCUUGGAUCCAGUUUCCUCCACGUAUACGACUCGUAGUCCACCUGCCAAUCUGGACUCAGCUGGGGACAGAAAGCCAAAGAAGCAUGUGGUCAGACUAUGGGACACUGUCCCACACCUGUGGUACUUUCAUCUUAGACACAAGUCAUCAGGCCAGGACGGCGAGUGUGAGUAGCUCCUUCCCAUACACAUUCCUAAACUCUCCUGAGCGCCACAUGGCCCAGGAAUAAAGUAUUCUGCUUCCCAAAUCCUUGCCCCACCUUCAAGAGGCUCCUCCCCUCCACGCUCCUCACCGGAAAGGCAAGCUCUUGGCCUCGGAAGACCCAGAUUCCAGAAAUGGAGCUGCUAUUGUUGGUUCCAAAGAGGAUGACACUGGCAAAGGCAUUCUUCCUCAGCUUAUCCAACCGCUGGAACAUUCCUGAAGUGACAGAGGAGAACACUCCGCCUUUAGAAUCGCAUCGCUCACACCCUGUCCUCCUUCCCCUUCCCACUGCACUUCUUCUCACCAGUGAUGAGGUUGCAACUCAUGAAAGUCUGCGUGAGCUCCUCAGGGAAACGGUACUCAGCAUACCACAGAGACCAGCCAUCCUUGUCAAAGUGCUCCCAAAAAUAUGGCAGCGCCACAGAGAGAGUGUCCUCAUUGGAGUACUUGCGCUUAAACUCAUCCAACACAAAGGUACUGAAAGGAAACACGAGGCAGUCACUAAGGUCCUACGGAGACAAGAGCAUUGCCUGCUAGAAGCUAAGGGUGUUCUCACUUCACUGUUACUGGUUCAAAGGAAGCGGUUGCUGGCCCAGCAGGUAACCACAGGCUCCUCAAAUGAGUUUAGCUGAAUCAUAUUGAAAAAAAAAAUAGAACUAAACUCUGGAUAGAAGUCUCUGGGGCUGACAUUGUGGCAUAGCAGGUAAAGCUGACCCAUGCAAUGCUGGCAUCCCAUGUGAGUACCAGUUCGAGUUCCAGCGGUUCCACUUCUAACAGAGCUCCCUGCUAAUGGCCUAGGCAAAGCAGCAGAGGAUGGCCCAAAUGUUUGGGCCCCUGCUAACCAAGUGGGAGACCUGGAUGAAGUUCUUGUCUUCAGCCUAACCCAGCCCCUGCCGUUGCAGCCAUUUGGGGAGUGAAUCAGUGGCUGAAGAUGGAUCCC